rnacentral:rRNA from 1 species
UUGGGAAUCUUGGACAAUGGGGGAAACCCUGAUCCAGCCAUGCCGCGUGAGUGAUGAAGGCCUUCGGGUUGUAAAACUCUUUCGACGGGGACGAUAAUGACGGUACCCGUAGAAGAAGCUCCGGCUAACUUCGUGCCAGCAGCCGCGGUAAUACGGAGGGGGCUAGCGUUGCUCGGAAUUACUGGGCGUAAAGCGCACGUAGGCGGCUUUGUAAGUUAGAGGUGAAAGCCCGGGGCUCAACUCCGGAAUUGCCUUUAAGACUGCAUCGCUAGAAUUGUGGAGAGGUAAGUGGAAUUCCGAGUGUAGAGGUGAAAUUCGUAGAUAUUCGGAAGAACACCAGUGGCGAAGGCGACUUACUGGACACAUAUUGACGCUGAGGUGCGAAAGCGUGGGGAGCAAAC